AGACAGUUUCGUAGGUGAACUGCGGAAGGAUCAUUA
rnacentral:rRNA from 1 species